rnacentral:rRNA from 1 species
GUAGCCAUAAACAUAAAUAAUUCAUAACAUAAUUAUUCGCCAGAGGACUACAAGCCACUGCUUAAAACUCAAAGGACUUGGCGGUGCUUUAUAUCCAUCUAGAGGAGCCUGUUCCAUAAUCGAUAAUCCCCGAUUCACCUCACCACUCUUUGCUAAUUCAGCCUAUAUACCGCCAUCUUCAGCUAACCCUAAAAAGGAACCAAAGUAAGCUAAAUAAGUACAACUAAAGAAGUUAGGUCAAGGUGUAGCCCAUAGAGUGGGGCGAAAUGGGCUACAUUUUCUAACCACUAGAACAUUUUACGAAACCCUAUGUGAAAUCGUAGGAUAAAGGAGGAUUUAGUAGUAAAUUAAAACUAGAGCGUUUAAUUGAAUAGAGCAAUGAAGCAC